rnacentral:rRNA from 1 species
UAGGGAAUCUUCCGCAAUGGGCGAAAGCCUGACGGAGCAACGCCGCGUGAGUGAAGAAGGUCUUCGGAUCGUAAAACUCUGUUAUUAGGGAAGAACAAAUGUGUAAGUAACUAUGCACGUCUUGACGGUACCUAAUCAGAAAGCCACGGCUAACUACGUGCCAGCAGCCGCGGUAAUACGUAGGUGGCAAGGGUUAUCCGGAAUUAUUGGGCGUAAAGCGCGCGUAGGCGGUUUUUUAAGUCUGAUGUGAAAGCCCACGGCUCAACCGUGGAGGGUCAUUGGAAACUGGAAAACUUGAGUGCAGAAGAGGAAAGUGGAAUUCCAUGUGUAGCGGUGAAAUGCGCAGAGAUAUGGAGGAACACCAGUGGCGAAGGCGACUUUCUGGUCUGUAACUGACGCUGAUGUGCGAAAGCGUGGGGAUCAAACA